rfam:Capsicum annuum cultivar Zunla-1 unplaced genomic scaffold scaffold15288, whole genome shotgun sequence
GAAUGCGAUCAUACUAGCACCAAUGCACCAUAUCCCAUCAGAACUCCGAAGUUAAGCAUGCUUGGGUGAGAGUAGUACUAGGAUGGGCGACCCCCCGGGAAGUCCUUAUGUUUUAUCCC